CCCUGCAGUCUGAAAGUGAAGCAUUCCUAUGACUUCCCUAAGCCAAAAUGGUGUAAAGCAAAGAAGCAAUUACCAUUAAUUUAUACAGAAAAAUUUGGAGUAUUUCUGGAUCUCUCUUUUCUGAUUCCUUAGAACACAUCUUGUUAAGGAGUGUACCAGAUAAAUCUAAGUACAGCAUGGAUGCUCACAGAUAGCUCAAAGAGAGGGAAGUCAGAAAUUUGAAGCAUAUGAAGGAUCUGAUGUGCUCUUGCUGGCCUGAAGAUGGAGAAGCAUCUCUGUCAAGGACAUGGAUGACAUCUAGAUGCUGAGAGCCACUCCCAGGCUAUUCACAUGCUAAGAAGGAUUUCCCCAUGCUCCCAGAUCUUCGCUGAAAUAUGGAUUAAAAGACUAAGAGAAACAUCUACCAACUGCAACACAUGAACCUGAUUCAAACAAACUUUAAAAAAAAAAGUUAUGAGAUAAUGGGGAAAUUGGAACCCUGGUUGAAUAGUUUACAGUGUUAAGAAAAAUUAUUGUUAAUUUUCAAAGGUGUGAUAAUGGAUAUAUACGUGCUUGGAUGUAAUCACACAUAAUGAAAGAUUUAUGGAUGAAAUAAUAUAAUGUCUGAGAUAAUGUCUGAAUAAUCACGUGUGGGGCUGGGGGAUUAAGUUCAUAGCAGACACAAGUUUGGUCAUGAGUUGAUGGCUGUUGAAUUUUGGGUAAUGGGCACGUGGAGUUUCAUUAUAUUCAUUCAUUAUGACAAAAUAUUUAUUCUUUUUUAUUUUGUGUAUUUGAAACUUUGCCUUAAAAGAAAAGAAGGCCAUGUUGGUCCCAUUCUGGUUUUGGUG